CGGCGCGCUUCGGCCACAGGAGAUCCGUCGUACCGGGCGUGGCUACGCGGGCGACCAGGAUCACCACGUCGCGCGGCUCCACCAGCAACCGCCAGCGUCGCAGCCACCGUGGGACUUCCCCCACCAUAGCCGGAGGAGCGCCCCAGGACCCCGCGGCCAGGAUAUUCGCGAUCGCGAGCGCAGAGGACAAGACUGCGUUGUUGGGGCGCGUUGUACAGCCGGACACGGUUCGCCGCUGCGAGGCGCCCGGUCCAGGCUUUGGUAAUGAGGGGCUUUGUCGGCAAACGAGUAUUUCUACGGAUGUCCAGCUUCGUGGUUGUCCUGCUUUCUGCCGUGUGAGCUGGCUGUGUGCCGCCGUGCCCCGACGGUACGCUCGUCAGUCCCUUCAGGCGCUCAGGGCCGGCCCUUAGUGUGACGAGCGUCUCGUACCCGCCCUCCAGCGCUACCGCUGCUGCCUCGCACCUUCAGUGCAGGUGGGCGAGCCGGCUCGCUCACCAGGGGCGGCGGUUGGUACGUGGAGUCGGCGGUGGUGGCUGGCGUGUUCACGGGCAAAUAUCGCAUUUGGUGGACAAGUUUUUAAAAUGGACGCACGUUCGAGGCACGACGUCCCGCUGAAAUAGGAGUUUGUCAAUAACGCCUCUCCCUUGAAAGUUAUUUGGUUUGUUCUGUCGGCUCGUUGCUCAAACCCUCCCUUGUUCCAGGCAUAGUCUAAGUACUGCAGUAGAACUACAAGACGAGACGCGUCGAGGAUGGACGGCCUGCUCCAACAUUCAGCCUACUUUGUUUAUAUUCUACCUGUCUGUAAAAAGAUUGGAAUAAAGAUGUUUUUCGAACGAAAUAAAUGGGGAAAGGGUUGGGGUUUCUCCUGCAGCCCGUCGCUGCGGACGUCGUUCAGAGAAGACCCGCCGCCGCUGCGCCCUUCCCGUCGCCACCACCGUGGGACUUGCCCGCACCGCAGGACUCUUCGGCCAGGACACUCGCCGGGCGCCGAGGACAACUGCGUCGUCGGGAUGCUACACGCCCCUUCGCGCCCCGCCCCUGCUCCGCGCCCCGCCCCGCCGCGCUCUCGGCCGCGGGUUUGGGGGCGCCCUGUGACAACUGUCCGCCGGUACCCUUCGGAGUAGGCCCUGUCGCGUACAGAGCGAGGGCUGCUGUCGAAGGUUGCUCCUCCGCGCUGACCAUCUCCGGGGCGAAAGCGUUGGGCUCCCGACCAUCCUCUGCGGCAGAGGCAGAGCGGGGCGGAGGCUGCGCUUGCCGGGGGCUGGCGCGGGGCUCGGCGGACCACCCCGGGCACUCCUGCAGGACCUGCGGAGGAGCGCCAGGUCGCAGAGGACACCGCUACCACCUCAACGGCCGUCACCAGCGUCGCCACCACCCCCCCCCCCUCUCUCUGAACGUUACUUGCUUUGUGUUGGCUCGUUGCUCAAAAUAUUUCUUGUUCCAGCCAGGCAUCAGACGCUGUUCCCGGCCACCUCCAUGGGACUUCCCCGCCGACGCAGGACGCAGGUCGCGGCCGGCGAUAGUGUUUCUUUGUUUGCAUUCUGUUGGGUGGUUGUGGUGCUUGGCUUGUAUGUGUUUGUGGUUGUAGGGUGGUUUAUGGUAGGGUAGUUUUUGUGUUUAUGUGUUGUGUGUUUAUGUUGGUUUGUGUGUUGUGGUAUGGGUUGUGUCCUGUCUUAAUUUUGUAUUCUUU